UAUUGAAAGUUUCAUCAAUUUCUACUAUUAAAAAUUGACGUGGUCGACAUAAUAACCAAAUAGUUACACGAGGCGUGACACUUAUACCUCAUGGUAACAUACAAGGAAUAAUUUUUAAUAGUAGAAAUUGAUGAAAUUUUUAACA
rfam:Gossypium hirsutum cultivar TM-1 chromosome 5, whole genome shotgun sequence